rnacentral:rRNA from 1 species
UUAAGCGACUAAGCGUACACGGUGGAUGCCCUGGCAGUCAGAGGCGAUGAAGGACGUGCUAAUCUGCGAAAAGCGUCGGUAAGGUGAUAUGAACCGUUAUAACCGGCGAUGUCCGAAUGGGGAAACCCAGUGCAAUUCGUUGCACUAUCGUUAACUGAAUACAUAGGUUAACGAGGCGAACCGGGGGAACUGAAACAUCUAAGUACCCCGAGGAAAAGAAAUCAACCGAGAUUCCCCCAGUAGCGGCGAGCGAACGGGGAGCAGCCCAGAGUCUGAAUCAGCUUGUGUGUUAGUGGAACGGUCUGGAAAGUCCGACGGUACAGGGUGAUAGUCCCGUACACCAAAAUGCACAGGUUGUGAACUCGAAGAGUAGGGCGGGACACGUGGUAUCCUGUCUGAAUAUGGGGGGACCAUCCUCCAAGGCUAAAUACUCCUGACUGACCGAUAGUGAACCAGUACCGUGAGGGAAAGGCGAAAAGAACCCCGGCGAGGGGAGUGAAAAAGAACCUGAAACCGUGUACGUACAAGCAGUGGGAGCACCUUCGGGUGUGACUGCGUACCUUUUGUAUAAUGGGUCAGCGACUUAUAUUCUGUAGCAAGGUUAACCGUAUAGGGGAGCCGCAGGGAAACCGAGUCUUAACUGGGCGUUAAGUUGCAGGGUAUAGACCCGAAACCCGGUGAUCUAGCCAUGGGCAGGUUGAAGGUUGGGUAACACUAACUGGAGGACCGAACCGACUAAUGUUGAAAAAUUAGCGGAUGACUUGUGGCUGGGGGUGAAAGGCCAAUCAAACCGGGAGAUAGCUGGUUCUCCCCGAAAGCUAUUUAGGUAGCGCCUCGUGAACUCAUCUUCGGGGGUAGAGCACUGUUUCGGCUAGGGGGUCAUCCCGACUUACCAACCCGAUGCAAACUACGAAUACCGAAGAAUGUUAUCACGGGAGACACACGGCGGGUGCUAACGUCCGUCGUGAAGAGGGAAACAACCCAGACCGCCAGCUAAGGUCCCAAAGUCAUGGUUAAGUGGGAAACGAUGUGGGAAGGCACAGACAGCCAGGAUGUUGGCUUAGAAGCAGCCAUCAUUUAAAGAAAGCGUAAUAGCUCACUGGUCGAGUCGGCCUGCGCGGAAGAUGUAACGGGGCUAAACCAUGCACCGAAGCUGCGGCAGCGACACUAUGUGUUGUUGGGUAGGGGAGCGUUCUGUAAGCCUGCGAAGGUGUGCUGUGAGGCAUGCUGGAGGUAUCAGAAGUGCGAAUGCUGACAUAAGUAACGAUAAAGCGGGUGAAAAGCCCGCUCGCCGGAAGACCAAGGGUUCCUGUCCAACGUUAAUCGGGGCAGGGUGAGUCGACCCCUAAGGCGAGGCCGAAAGGCGUAGUCGAUGGGAAACAGGUUAAUAUUCCUGUACUUGGUGUUACUGCGAAGGGGGGACGGAGAAGGCUAUGUUAGCCGGGCGACGGUUGUCCCGGUUUAAGCAUGUAGGCUGGUUGUCCAGGCAAAUCCGGAUAAUCAAGGCUGAGGUGUGAUGACGAGGCACUACGGUGCUGAAGUAACAAAUGCCCUGCUUCCAGGAAAAGCCUCUAAGCAUCAGGUAACAUCAAAUCGUACCCCAAACCGACACAGGUGGUCAGGUAGAGAAUACCAAGGCGCUUGAGAGAACUCGGGUGAAGGAACUAGGCAAAAUGGUGCCGUAACUUCGGGAGAAGGCACGCUGGUGUGUAGGUGAAGUCCCUGCGGAUGGAGCUGAGACCAGUCGAAGAUACCAGCUGGCUGCAACUGUUUAUUAAAAACACAGCACUGUGCAAACACGAAAGUGGACGUAUACGGUGUGACGCCUGCCCGGUGCCGGAAGGUUAAUUGAUGGGGUUAUCCGUAAGGAGAAGCUCUUGAUCGAAGCCCCGGUAAACGGCGGCCGUAACUAUAACGGUCCUAAGGUAGCGAAAUUCCUUGUCGGGUAAGUUCCGACCUGCACGAAUGGCGUAAUGAUGGCCAGGCUGUCUCCACCCGAGACUCAGUGAAAUUGAACUCGCUGUGAAGAUGCAGUGUACCCGCGGCAAGACGGAAAGACCCCGUGAACCUUUACUAUAGCUUGACACUGAACAUUGAGCCUUGAUGUGUAGGAUAGGUGGGAGGCUUUGAAGCGUGGACGCCAGUCUGCGUGGAGCCAACCUUGAAAUACCACCCUUUAAUGUUUGAUGUUCUAACGUUGGCCCCUGACCGGGGUUGCGGACAGUGUCUGGUGGGUAGUUUGACUGGGGCGGUCUCCUCCCAAAGCGUAACGGAGGAGCACGAAGGUUAGCUAAUCCUGGUCGGACAUCAGGAGGUUAGUGCAAUGGCAUAAGCUAGCUUGACUGCGAGCGUGACGGCGCGAGCAGGUGCGAAAGCAGGUCAUAGUGAUCCGGUGGUUCUGAAUGGAAGGGCCAUCGCUCAACGGAUAAAAGGUACUCCGGGGAUAACAGGCUGAUACCGCCCAAGAGUUCAUAUCGACGGCGGUGUUUGGCACCUCGAUGUCGGCUCAUCACAUCCUGGGGCUGAAGUAGGUCCCAAGGGUAUGGCUGUUCGCCAUUUAAAGUGGUACGCGAGCUGGGUUUAGAACGUCGUGAGACAGUUCGGUCCCUAUCUGCCGUGGGCGCUGGAGAAUUGAGGGGGGCUGCUCCUAGUACGAGAGGACCGGAGUGGACGCAUCACUGGUGUUCGGGUUGUCAUGCCAAUGGCACUGCCCGGUAGCUAAAUGCGGAAGAGAUAAGUGCUGAAAGCAUCUAAGCACGAAACUUGCCCCGAGAUGAGUUCUCCCUGAGACUAUAAGUCUCCUGAAGGAACGUUGAAGACGACGACGUUGAUAGGCCGGGUGUGUAAGCGCAGCGAUGCGUUGAGCUAACCGGUACUAAUGAACCGUGAGGCUUAACCUU